rnacentral:lncRNA from 1 species
GAACAUUCCACAGGAGCCGGUUCAUGUUGCUGUGGCAGCGACGGGGCAGAGCUAACUGGCUAUGCUGAUUUCUGAUGGACGCUUUGCUCUUUAAAACGGCCCAAAUGGAGAGAUGGAGCACAGGCCGCCAGUGCUGUGGAUGGUGAGUCAGGGAAUAAAAAAAAAGAUCAGCCCAUCCUCCCCUUACGAGACACAACACCCAUCUUUAACAUAACCUCAUCAAACCUCCAGCAGCCGUGCCAACUAGCAAGGAUCUGGAAAACACCCCACGCCCAUGAGGGACAUCAAGUCAACACGUCUGUCGGUCAAAACAUGUCACACAUAUCAAAGGAUUGGCAUGCCGUACUAGCAGCAAUUGAGAAGAGAUUUGUUAAUAUGAAUAUGAAUAUUUUCUUUUGUGGUGAGGAAGUUGAUAUUUAAAAUUUGAUACGGGCUCAAACAAAUCUGACCAGAACAUUUGAAGUUUGAAGGAAUCUUGAAUUUCUUCUCUUGAAGU